ensembl:lincRNA
UGUGCCGCAGGGGAGGAGACACAUGGACUUGUGCUGGGCUCACAGCUUCCUAAGCAAAAAACAGCAAAGACCACUCCCAGCCUCCUCCAACCACAGGGCGGCUGUGCUGGUGGGAAAGGUGGUGUGUGUGUCUAUGUGUGUGCAUGUGGGGUGCAUGCUUGUGGCGUGCACUCAUGUGGCAUGCACUCAUGUGGCAUGUGUGAUACGGUGUGUGUAGUGUGUGGUGUCUGUGGUCUGUGUAUGGUUUGUGUGUGUGUGUGAUGUGCUGUGGUAUGUAUGGUGUAUGUGUGUAUGUUUGUGUGUGAUUUGCUAUGGUGUGGUGUGUAUCAUUUGUGUGUGUGGUUUGCUCCUUUGUGGUGUGUAUGCUUUGUGUUUGUGCGUGUGGUGUGCUCUGCUGUAGUGUGUAUGGUUUGUGUGUGUGUGUGUGCUGUGCUGUGGUGUGUAUAGUUUGUGUUUGUGUGUGUGCUGUGCUGUGGUGUGUAUGGUUUGUGUUUGUGUGUGUGUGCUGUGCUAUGGUGUGUAUGGUUUGUGUGUGUGUGUGUGUUGUGCUAUGGUGUGUAUGGUCUGCGUGUGUCUGUGUGCUGUGCUGCGGUGUUGUAUGGUUUGUGUUUGUGUGUGUGUGCUGUGCUGUGGUGUGUAUAGUAAGUUGGUUUGUGUGUGUGCUGUGCUAUGGUGUGUAUGGUUUGUGUGUGUGCUGUGCUGUGGUGUGUAUAGUUUGUGUUUGUGUGUGUGCUGUGCUAUGGUGUGUAUGGUUUGUGUGUGUGUGUUCUGUGCUAUGGUGUGUAUGGUUUGUGUGUGUCUGUGUGCUGUGCUGUGGUGUGUAUGAUUUGUGUGUGUGUGUGCUGUGCUCUGGUGUGUAUGGUUUGUGUGUGUGUGUGCUGUGCUGUGGUGUGUAUGGUUUGUGUGUGUGCUGUGCUGUGGUGUGUAUGAUGUGUGUGUGUGUAUGUAUAUGUGGCAUGCUGUGGUGUGUGUGUGUCCCAAGCUGCACAGGGUUGUCACACAGCCCGAGUGCCCUGGUCCCUGCGUUCUUUGUAAUCACAGCCAUGGCAUCUGAGUGUGGCUGGGAGGGAGGCCACCUGCCUGCUUUCCGAGGAUCUCAGCUUUGGGGUGGUAUCAGGGGUGACAGAUGCCCCAGGCGUCUUCUCUCCAGGAGUCAGGGUGGGGUCUCCGAGAGAACAGCACUCAUUGUGAUGAGUGGUUCUGCUUUCUUCCCAGGCCGCCUGCUGUGGGCAGUGAGUGGAAUUUCCCAAGGCUGGCCGGCUUUAGUGUGGCUGUGCGGGAGGGCACAGCAGCAGCACCUGGGCCCACGGAGCUGCCGGAGCUGGGCCCCACUGCCCCCAGCCGCUUGCCCUGCCAGGGAAGGAAAUGCCCAGGACUCUUCUGCCCUAACUUCCCCAUGUCUUUGCUCUGGUCAAGGAGAGCAUUUGCCUUGCCACUAUUACAUCUCCAUGGAAGGUAAAGGCAUGAUGUGUCUCCUUGUAGCAGGAUUGGGCCUGGAUUCUCACUGUGGAAUGGAAAAUCUUGUCCCCUGGUGGAAGCUUUCAACCAGGUGA